GAGUUAGGAAGAAGAAAUUUUGACUGUAGUUUUGUGAUGGUCCUUGUAUGAAAAGUUAACUUCGAGGUGUUUUACACUUUUGGAAAAAUUCACCCUAUUUUGAAAAUACUUUUCUCAGCGACUCCACCUGCAACUAUGAAAAUAUGGAGAAGGGUAUAAUAUGCAGAUUUUUUAUUACCAUCCGACAUCGACUUCAAGGUUCCACAAAACUUAAAUGAGUGAAAAACGUUGAUUUCAAUUUUCAGUUCUUCAUUCAUAGACUUCAAGCGCACAGCUACUACGAAAAAUAGUAGGCAUAGUAUCUCUGGACAUAUAGGCUCUACCCAUAAUGUUUUAAGUCUUGGUAAAAAUUUGGGCUAUAGCUUUAAGUUCUUAUUUUAAUGUAAAGGGUAAUUUUUUUUUGUAAAUUUAGAAGUUAAAAAUUUCGUGUGAUUUAAUGGCAACUGAAAAGAAGAAUAUGAGCUUUGCCGUCCUGCCCAGAGUCAUUAACGGCGGCAUUGCGGGCAUCAUCGGUGUGACAUGUGUAUUUCCGUUGGAUUUGGUGAAGACGCGACUGCAAAAUCAACAAAUCGGUCCCAAUGGUGAACGCAUGUACACUAGCAUGUUCGAUUGCUUCCGCAAGAUUUACGCGGCGGAGGGUUACUUUGGCAUGUACCGCGGCUCAGCCGUAAACAUAUUAUUGAUCACCCCUGAGAAGGGAAUCAAACUGACCGCUAACGAUUAUUUUCGCUAUCACCUGGCUACUCCGGACGGAAAACUAACACUGCUCAUGCAAUGUCUGGCCGGAGGUUUAGCUGGUGCAUUUCAAAUUAUUGUGACUACGCCUAUGGAGCUUUUAAAGAUUCAGUUGCAGGAUGCCGGACGUGUGGGUGGGCAUGAUUUAAAAAAGGUGACUGCUUGGUCUAUUACCAAGCAGCUUGUAAAAGAUAAUGGCAUCUUCGGCUUAUACAAGGGCGUCCGGGCCACUGGCGCGCGAGACAUUACUUUCUCGGUCAUCUACUUUCCAUUCUUUGCCUUUUUGAAUAACAGUGGACCCCGAAAGCCGGGCCCCUCAGGCGAAGCCGUCUUUUGGUGGUCCCUUAUCUCUGGGUUGGUGUCGGGAAUGUCAGCUGCUUUUGCGGUCACGCCCCUAGAUGUGAUUAAGACACGCUUGCAAGCCAUUAAAAAGGCGGAUGGCGAAAAGGAAUUUGAUGGCAUUUUCGACUGUAUCAACAAAACAUUGAAGUACGAAGGACCUAAGGCAUUCUUCAAGGGUGGGCUGUGUCGAAUGAUUGUAAUUGCUCCACUUUUUGGAAUAGCUCAGAUGGUCUACUUUAUGGGUAUAGGCGAACGUAUUCUGGGCAUUGAACAAAAGAAGUCUGUCUGAGAAAUGCUUGCCAUUCAUCUCUUAUUUCAAUGCAAUGGAAAUUUAUUGUGAGUUCUAAAAUUUAAAAUUUUCGUAAUAACAAAAUCACGUCAAAAGUAUAAAGUGUACAGAGACAAAAACUUAUUUUAUAGGCCCAUUAAUUACUUUAGAAAGGAACACAUCAUAAAGUUGAUAAGUAAAUUUAAAUGAUGCAUCCCAAAACUGGAUAGUUAUAUAUCAGCCCGCUUCUCUUAUCACAAUAAAUUCAAAACUUUGUCA
rnacentral:misc_RNA from 1 species